rnacentral:rRNA from 1 species
UACGGGGGGGGCAAGCGUUGUUCGGAAUUACUGGGCGUAAAGGGCUCGUAGGCGGCCAACUAAGUCGGAUGUGAAAUCCCCAGGCUUAACCGGGGAACUGCGUCUGAUACUGGAUGGCUUGAGGUUGGGAGAGGGAUGCGGAAUUCCAGGUGUAGCGGUGAAAUGCGUAGAUAUCUGGAGGAACACCGGUGGCGAAGGCGGCAUCCUGGACCAACACUGACACUGAGGAGCGAAAGCCAGGGGAGCAAACGGG